rnacentral:rRNA from 1 species
UACGUAGGGUGCGAGCGUUGUCCGGAAUUAUUGGGCGUAAAGAGCUUGUAGGUGGCUCGUUGCGUCGGGAGUGAAAACCUGCGGCUUAACCGCAGGCCUGCUUCCGAUACGGGCGAGCUAGAGUUCGGCAGGGGAGACUGGAAUUCCUGGUGUAGCGGUGGAAUGCGCAGAUAUCAGGAGGAACACCGGUGGCGAAGGCGGGUCUCUGGGCCGAUACUGACACUGAGGCGCGACAGCGUGGGGAGCAAACAGG